GCUAAGAAUAUUCCGCAAUGGACGAAAGUCUGACGGAGCGACGCCGCGUGGAUGAUGAAGGCCGAAAGGUUGUAAAGUCCUUUUGCUGGGGAAGAAUAAGCGAGGGAGGGAAUGCCCGCGUGAUGACAUGAACCGGCGAAUAAGCCCCGGCUAACUACGUGCCAGCAGCCGCGGUAACACGUAGGGGGCAAGCGUUGUUCGGAAUUACUGGGCGUAAAGGGCAUGUAGGCGGCCUUGUAAGCUUGGCGGGAAAGUCCACGGCUUAACCGUGGGAUUGGGUUGAGAAGUGCGAGGCUGUAGUGACGGAGAGGGAGCUAGAAUGCCUGGUGUAGGGGUGGAAUCUGUAGAGAUCAGGAAGAAUACCAAUGGCGAAGGCAAGCUCCUGGCCGAUGACUGACGCUGGGGUGCGAAAGUGUGGGGAUCAAACAGGAUUAGAAACCCCGGUAGGCC
rnacentral:rRNA from 1 species